CUACAUUCAAAUAUCCAAAUCAUUUGAGGAUGUCCAACAAAGACUUCUGUUCCUUGAGUAUUGUGCUUUGAUUAUUUUUAUUGUGCUCAUUUAAGGAGCUUGUGUGUGCUAAAAUUUUUAUACUCAUAUCUUUUAUUAUUGUACAUUGAGUUUUGAGUUUUGAAAGGUUCCAAAACUCAGAAAGAUUGAUUCGAACCUGUAAUCAGAGGGUUUGUGGGUUGGCUUAUACCCGACAAAUAAUUGUUCUUGCUUGGACAGUAAGAGUCAGUGUUAUCCGAUGUGUUGUAUUUUUUAAAUCCUUUUAGUGGAUUGAAUUUUUAAGUUGGGACUUGGAGAAUGGAUGUAGGUGCAAGAUUAGCACCGAACUACUAUAAAUCUCGUGUUUGUUGUGCUUGCAUAUUUUCUUUUCUUCUUUGUGCUCUAUACUUGUUUAUUAGUUAAUUGUGGUUGAUCUUCUUUUCUUUAAUAAUUAAUUCAUCUCACUCAAUAAGUUUAGCACAUUGCUUGUGAGUACUAAUCACAAAAAUUUUAAAAGAUCCAAUUUACCCCUCCUCCUGAGCUCUAUAUCUGGACAACAAAUGGUAUCAGAGCUCAGUGCUCUAGUCCUUGCUUGAUUUAACCAUCAAGAGCCAAAGAUCUAUGGCAGCCUAAUUUGGCACAUCUCUAGCCGAAGGACAAUCCACAAACCGACCUUCACUUUUCAAUGGAUCUAACUAUACCUAUUGGAAAGCUCGGAUGAGAAUAUUUAUCC
rnacentral:lncRNA from 1 species